GUGGGGAAUCUUAGACAAUGGGGGCAACCCUGAUCUAGCCAUGCCGCGUGAGUGAUGAAGGCCUUAGGGUCGUAAAGCUCUUUCGCUGGGGAAGAUAAUGACGGUACCCAGUAAAGAAACCCCGGCUAACUCCGUGCCAGCAGCCGCGGUAAUACGGAGGGGGUUAGCGUUGUUCGGAAUUACUGGGCGUAAAGCGCGCGUAGGCGGAUUGGAAAGUUGGGGGUGAAAUCCCGGGGCUCAACCCUGGAAUGGCCUUCAAAACUCCCAGUCUUGAGGUCGAGAGAGGUGAGUGGAAUUCCGAGUGUAGAGGUGAAAUUCGUAGAUAUGCGGGGGAACACCAGUGGCGAAGGCGGCUCACUGGCUCGAUACUGACGCUGAGGUGCGAAAGCGUGGGGAGCAAACAGGAUUAGAAACCCCAGUAGUCC
rnacentral:rRNA from 1 species